rnacentral:misc_RNA from 1 species
GGGAAGUCGAUAAAAGUUGACAUAAACUAGAGAUCGUAAACAACAAAUAUGUCCUAAUAAGGGAAUAUAAAUUUUCCAAUAUGGCAUUCUCUGCCUGUGUUUUGCUCAAGUGUUCUUUUCACAAUCCCCUGAUAAGCCUAUGUCUAGUAUGACAUGCAGCCACCUGAAUCCCAUGAAUCAGGUGAUAGAGCUGGGAGGUCAAGGAUUAAAUUUUCCUGUUAUCUUCGCACUCAUUUUAUCUUGACCAAGAAAACUAUACAGUGAUGUGAGAAGACCAUUAGCAAUCAUUGAGAGCUUUGAUUUUUUCCCAGUUUCUAUUGAACCAGCAGUCAUUGUACUCAAAUCUCUUCCACACAUAUAAUAGCAAGCAAAAAGAACAAGAUUGGUAAUCACAGAAUUCAUAGAAAUGGUACAGUGUAGAAACACUGUUCCUUUCAUUUCAUGAUUCGUUUGAGUACAUCAAUGAAACAAAGCAUUACAACGAGCAGAAUAAUCGCAAAUAAAGAGGAAAUAACAACAGCAUAUCCCUCCACCCCAGAAUUUUUCAUGUUAUGAAUCUGCUCUUUAAUGUCAGGCCACAUCACGUAUGCGAGAAACCCAUACCCAAUUAUUACAAUCAGGUUUAGUAUCAGAGGACGGCUAUUCCCCUCCUUUGUAUUGUUCCCCAUCGCUCUCUCCAAUUCGAAAAUGGAAUCGUAGACACAAAUUUGAAGGAAAUUAGCAAAGCAGAAUUCACCAGAUGCAGAAAUAUCAAGAUUUAUGGCAUUUUUGGAAAAAUCAAGGAUGAAUUUUUAUGAAAUACACGAAAUUUAAGCUCACCUAUCGGAAGAAUCGAAGGAAUGUGGCCUCUUUUUUCAGCCUUCACCCUCAAAGCUUCUUGGAGAAACCCCAGCAAUUUUCUCACUUAAUAUGGGGCUUGGGCAUCUUGGCCCAAUCUGAAAAAGUGGGUAUUUCCGACCCAAUCAUUCCCACCAGGCAACGAACAUGAUCCUUCUUCUUCUUCUUC